UNUGACUUGAGUGCAGAAGGGGAGAGUGGAAUNCCAUGUGUAGCGGUGAAAUGCGUAGAUAUAUGGAGGAACACCAGUGGCGAAAGCGGCUCUCUGGUCUGUCACUGACGCUGAGGCUNGAAAGCGUGGGUAGCGAACAGGAUUAGAUACCCUGGUAGUNCACGCCGUAAACGAUGAGUGCUAGGUGUUAGGCCCUUUCCGGGGCUUAGUGCCGGAGCUAACGCAAUAAGCACUCCGCCUGGGGAGUACGACCGCAAGGUUGAAACUCAAAGGAAUUGGCGGGGGCCCGCACAAGCGGUGGAGCAUGUGGUUUAAUUCGAAGCAACGCGAAGAACCUUACCAGGUCUUGACAUCCCGAUGCUAUUCUUAGAGAUAGGAAGUUACUUCGGUACAUCGGAGACAGGUGGUGCAUGGUUGUCGUCAGCUCGUGUCGUGAGAUGUUGGGUUAAGUCCCGCAACGAGCGCAACCCUUAUUGUUAGUUGCCAUCAUUAAGUUGGGCACUCUAGCGAGACUGCCGGUAAUAAACCGGAGGAAGGUGGGGAUGACGUCAAAUCAUCAUGCCCCUUAUGACCUGGGCUACACACGUGCUACAAUGGUCGGUACAACGAGUUGCGAGCCGGUGACGGCAAGCUAAUCUCUGAAAGCCGAUCUCAGUUCGGAUUGGAGGCUGCAACUCGCCUCCAUGAAGUCGGAAUCGCUAGUAAUCGCGGAUCAGCACGCCGCGGUGAGUACGUUCCCGGGCCUUGUACACACCGCCCGUCACACCACGAGAGUUUGUAACACCCGAAGUCGGUGAGGUAACCUUUUAGGGGCCA
rnacentral:rRNA from 1 species